rnacentral:rRNA from 1 species
GACGAACGCUGGCGGCGUGCUUAACACAUGCAAGUCGAGCGGUAAGGCCCUUUCGGGGGUACACGAGCGGCGAACGGGUGAGUAACACGUGGGUGACCUGCCCUCAGCUCUGGGAUAAGCCUGGGAAACUGGGUCUAAUACCGGAUAUGACUCCAUGACGCAUGUUGUGGGGUGGAAAGCCUUGUGCGGCUGAGGAUGGGCCCGCGGCCUAUCAGCUUGUUGGUGGGGUGAGGCCUACCAAGGCGACGACGGGUAGCCGGCCUGAGAGGGCGACCGGCCACACUGGGACUGAGACACGGCCCAGACUCCUACGGGAGGCAGCAGGUGGGGAAUCUUGCGCAAUGGGCGAAAGCCUGACGCAGCGACGCCGCGUGAGGGA